AUUGAACGCUGGCGGCAUGCCUUACACAUGCAAGUCGAACGGCAGCACGGGAGCAAUCCUGGUGGCGAGUGGCGAACGGGUGAGUAAAGUAUCGGAACGUACCUUUCAGUGGGGGAUAACGUAGCGAAAGUUACGCUAAUACCGCAUAUUCUGUGAGCAGGAAAGCAGGGGAUCGCAAGACCUUGCGCUGAUUGAGCGGCCGAUAUCAGAUUAGCUAGUUGGUGAGGUAAAGGCUCACCAAGGCGACGAUCUGUAGCGGGUCUGAGAGGAUGAUCCGCCACACUGGAACUGAGACACGGUCCAGACUCCUACGGGAGGCAGCAGUGGGGAAUUUUGGACAAUGGGCGCAAGCCUGAUCCAGCCAUGCCGCGUGAGUGAAGAAGGCCUUCGGGUUGUAAAGCUCUUUCGGUCGGGAAGAAAUCGCAUGGGUUAAUACCCUGUGCGGAUGACGGUACCGGCAUAAGAAGCACCGGCUAACUACGUGCCAGCCGCCGCGGUAA
rnacentral:rRNA from 1 species